rnacentral:rRNA from 1 species
CUACGGGGCGCUGCAGUAAGGAAUAUUGCGCAAUGGAGGCAACUCUGACGCAGCCAUGCCGCGUGCAGGAAGAAGGCCUUAUGGGUCGUAAACUGCUUUUAUUUAGGAAUAAACCCCCGAACGUGUUCGGGGCUGAAGGUACUAAACGAAUAAGCACCGGCUAACUCCGUGCCAGCAGCCGCGGUAAUAGGGAGGGUGCAAGCGUUAUCCGGAUUUGUUGGGUUUAAAGGGUGCGCAGGCGGGCUAUUAAGUCAGUGGUGAAAUCCCGGGGCUCAACUCCGGAACUGCCAUUGAUACUGAUAGUCUUGAGUUUGGUUGAAGUGGGCGGAAUGUAGCAUGUAGCGGUGAAAUGCAUAGAUAUGCUACAGAACACCAAUCGCGAAGGCAGCUCACUAAGCCAAAACUGACGCUCAUGCACGAAAGCGUGGGGAUCAAACAGGAUUAGAUACCCGCGUAGUC